rnacentral:rRNA from 1 species
UACGAAGGGUGCAAGCGUUACUCGGAAUUACUGGGCGUAAAGCGUGCGUAGGCGGUUUGUUAAGUCCGUUGUGAAAGCCCUGGGCUCAACCUGGGAAUUGCAGUGGAUACUGGCGAGCUAGAGUGUGGCAGAGGGGGGUGGAAUUCCGCGUGUAGCAGUGAAAUGCGUAGAGAUGCGGAGGAACACCGAUGGCGAAGGCAGCCCCCUGGGCUGACACUGACGCUCAGGCACGAAAGCGUGGGGAGCAAACAGG